rnacentral:lncRNA from 1 species
CCCAUGAAAGUGCCAAAAUGCAGGCAGAAAAGACACGCCAGGGUAAUUUUAUUUUCCAAGCCACCUGUGAGCUCCUUGGAGAGCGUGAGCUGUUCCCUGGUCACAGCUGCUAGAUAAAUCGGUGUGGUUAAUGCUGAGGGGAAGUUAUCCUGGAGAUCAAGAAGCUCCCACCACGCCAGCUCUGUUUGCUGUGGAUGGCAGGCCUGAACACCAGCCAGCUCCCAGCUUCCUCACUGGCUAGGCCGAGCAGAAUCCGUGCCUUUUUUAACCUGGCUUAAAAAAAAAAAAAAAAAAAAAAAAAAAAAAAAAAAAAAAAAAGUAAAACAAAAAUCAGGAGUUUCAGACCUUUGCCUGCUUUGCAUGACGUGCUGAAGCAGAGGUGGAGCUGUCUUUAGCCCAGCACCAGGCAGGCAGUGGAGAUGGCUUUCCACCACCUGAAGGGCACAGGAAACAGGGAGGAGGUGGCAGUAGCUUGCUGCUGUGGGAAAAGCAAGGAAGAAAAGAUACAUCCCCAAAUCUUUACCUGCAUUAGCUGUCCAGGUUUGCACUCCUCCAGCUCUGUGCUAUACCCCAGAGCUCAGUGGAAAACAUCUUUCUGUCCACACGUGGAGAGCUGAGCCAUGGUGAAACCAGUAAAACCAGUAAGUCACUGUAAUCUAACCCAGGCUGGGCUAACAGGACUGAGAAACACUUCUCUAGAUUAAAACCACUCCAGAGCAGCACAUUUCUCUUUGCUCAGGGGUGUGAAAGGGUUCAUCCUGGUGCUACUGUGACAUUGGUUUGGACCUUCAGGUAGGGCUGAUAUAGAAAUAAUAGGUGGUUUUUAUUCUAGUUCUGUCCUGUUCAAGCAGUUAGGAUAUUGAGGGGAAAGAAACAACCAAAACACCUUGAAAACAGAACAAAAACCAAAACAAAAAUACAAAAAAACAAACAUCAAACCAACAAAAAAACCCACAAAAAAAAAUCAAAAAAAAGCCCCCAAAAAACUCCAAAAAACCCCCCCCAAAAAAAUCACACACUGAAAAAAAACCCCAAACAACCCAAGCAAAACAAAACAACAAAAAAACAACAGAAACAAAAAUCCAACCAAACAGAACCCACCAAACAAACAAACAAAAAACAAACUAAAUUUGGAGAACUAUGCUGAUGUAAAGCAAGGAUAAAACUACUCAUCCUUCCUGCAGAGCAGCUCCCUAUAUCUUUUUGGAAAAAUGUGUUUCCUUUCUGCUACGCUCCUAUUACAAGUAUUCCUUGCUAAUUUCUGUUCCAGCAAUAAAAGAAUAAAAAUUUAGAAUGCA